AUUGAACGCUGGCGGCAUGCCUAACACAUGCAAGUCGAACGGUAACAGGAGCUAGCUUGCUAGCUCGCUGACGAGUGGCGGACGGGUGAGUAAUGCGUAGGAAUUUACCUCAAAGCGGGGGAUAGCCCGGAGAAAUCCGGAUUAAUACCGCAUGUGCUCUACGGAGGAAAGCGGGCCUCUACUUGUAAGCUCGCACUUUGAGCUAAGCCUACGUCGGAUUAGCUAGUUGGUAGGGUAAAAGCCUACCAAGGCGACGAUCCGUAGCUGGUUUGAGAGGAUGAUCAGCCACACUGGGACUGAGACACGGCCCAGACUCCUACGGGAGGCAGCAGUGGGGAAUAUUGGACAAUGGGCGAAAGCCUGAUCCAGCAAUGCCGCGUGUGUGAAGAAGGCCUGCGGGUUGUAAAGCACUUUUAUCAGGAAAGAAAAUCUCGGGGCUAAUAUCCCCGGGCCUUGACGGUACCUGAUGAAUAAGCACCGGCUAACUCCGUGCCAGCCGCCGCCGUAACAC
rnacentral:rRNA from 1 species